rnacentral:rRNA from 1 species
UACGUAGGGUGCAAGCGUUAAUCGGAAUUACUGGGCGUAAAGCGUGCGCAGGCGGUGAUGUAAGACAGGUGUGAAAUCCCCGGCUUAACCUGGGAACUGCAUUUGUGACUGCAUCGCUGGAGUGCGGCAGAGGGGAUGGAAUUCCGCGUGUAGCAGUGAAAUGCGUAGAUAUGCGGAGGAACACCGAUGGCGAAGGCAAUCCCGUCGGCCUGCACUGACGCUCAGUGCACGAAAGCGUGGGGAGCAAACAGG